CCUUGACAUGCAGAGAACUUUCCAGAGAUGGAUUGGUGCCUUCGGGAGCUCUGACACAGGUGCUGCAUGGCUGUCGUCAGCUCGUGUCGUGAGAUGGUUGGGUUAAGUCCCGUAACGAGCGCAACCUUGUCCUUAGUUACCAGCACGUUAAGGUGGGCACUCUAAGGAGACUGCCGGUGACAAACCGGAGGAAGGUGGGGAUGACGUCAAGUCAUCAUGGCCCUUACGGCCUGGGCUACACACGUGCUACAAUGGUCGGUACAAAGGGUUGCCAAGCCGCGAGGUGGAGCUAAUCCCAUAAAACCGAUCGUAGUCCGGAUCGCAGUCUGCAACUCGACUGCGUGAAGUCGGAAUCGCUAGUAAUCGUGAAUCAGAAUGUCACGGUGAAUACGUUCCCGGGCCUU
rnacentral:rRNA from 1 species